AUCGGUUGAAUUCUUAUCCUGCUGCAGCAUCCUCUGUUGAUAUCGUUGAUAUCUUCAUCGAUUAUUCCAGAUACAAUGGCACCUGCUGCUCCUGUAGCUGUAGUAUUCCUUCUCCACUUUGGACUGUCAGAAGAAGUUGUUUGAUAGCGCAAUGGCUUGGGAACAAUGCGCUUUUGCCGUUCCAUCUAAUACGCGUGAAAAGAAAAAUUUUAAAGUAGUGAAUCUAUGUUGGACAUUCGAUUGGGAUGCGACCCCCUAGACGCCAAACGCUUUGAAACACUCAAAGGAAAGCUAUGAUUGGUCCAAAAGUUAUAUGAACAAACGGAUUCAUAUUCGAAUGCUGGACGAAGUAAGACCGAAUGAUUGAAUGUGAAAAAUGCAAGCAACUCAAACACGCUGUGAAUUAUGGGAAUGUUAGAAUGCGUGCGAUUGGAAUGAGGCGAACUUUGAAUUCUCCGCGAUUGCGGUGGCGCUGCGUGGCGCCCGGAGCGGGACACGGAACAUCGAGUGAGAAAAGAAAAGAAAGAGAGCACUAGAGUAGAGAAGAAAAGAAAGUGGA